CUGAUAGAGCUCCUGGAAGGCCU
rnacentral:miRNA from 1 species